GACGAACGCUGGCGGCGUGCUUAACACAUGCAAGUCGAACGGAAAGGCCCCUUUGGGGGUACUCGAGUGGCGAACGGGUGAGUAACACGUGAGUAACCUGCCCUUGACUUCGGGAUAACUUCAGGAAACUGGGGCUAAUACCGGAUAGGAAUCCUUGCUGCAUGGUGGGGGUUGGAAAGCUUCGGCGGUUUUGGAUGGACUCGCGGCUUAUCAGCUUGUUGGUGGGGUAGUGGCUUACCAAGGCUUUGACGGGUAGCCGGCCUGAGAGGGCGACCGGCCACAUUGGGACUGAGAUACGGCCCAGACUCCUACGGGAGGCAGCAGUGGGAAUAUUGCACAAUGGGCGGAAGCCUGAUGCAGCAACGCCGCGUGCGGGAUGACGGCCUUCGGGUUGUAAACCGCUUUCAGCAGGGGCGAAGCUUGUGGUGACGGUACCUGCAGAAGAAGCACCGGCUAACUACG
rnacentral:rRNA from 1 species